UUCCGGCUGGCGAAAACCCUAGCUAUCUUGUUUCGGAUCUGAGUGAAUCAAUCAACAAAUUCCCCACCGAAUUGCUUGUUUUCCUUCGAUCGCUUGCAAUUUCAGAGACAGCCACUACUAGGGCCUGUCACGAGGUCUCUGGGGACCACGCAGUAAGGGACUGGCGCGGCUUCUGGUCGUUGGUUCCGGCGAUGCCAAGCCGAAGAUCUGAGUCGCCGAGCCGCAAGUAGCAGCUGGACAUCCAUCCGCCGGCCCCGACAGCGAGCUCCGGCUGCCCCCUACCCCAUCCGCCUGCCCCGGAGUCGCAGCCGUGGAUAGCCCCAUCAGCCGCAACCUUCACCAGCCACGCACAAACCUUCCAAAGACAAAUUCUGUCUACCUAUGAUUCAUAUAUCUGUCUACCUAUGUAUCUAUCUAUGUAGAACACCUCUUUUGUGUUGGUUGCAACUAUGUUAUGCCUGACAAGUUAUCCAUGCUAUGAUAGCUCCAUAGGCCUGACAAGUUAUCCAUCAUCCAUGUUAUCUACUAAGUUAUCUAUGACGCUUAACCAUCAUCCCUGUAUCUAUCUUUCUUAUUAGUACUCCAGAACUAAGUCUUGUUUGGUCAUCAAUUUGUUCUCUGUUGGCAUGUAAAUUCUGCAAGGGUUUUUUGGUCUCCUAAUUUAGUCCUAGGAGUGAUACAGGUUGUCAAGUUUUAUGUUGUUGAUCUGCUUCAGGCCAUGUUUCUCUGUUUCUUGAGUUAUAAUUGUUUGCAGAAUAUUGUGUGAGAGUUCCUGAUUCUUUUCCUUUAUUAAAGAAGCAAACACAUAUUGUUUUCUUCAAAAGAUUGACAGCUUGGACUUUGAAUUUGCCGUAUGUUAGUCAUACUAAUAAUUUCUGGACCAGUUUAAUAGUUUUUGUAGGAUCAUAGCAAAGAAUUAUAGCACCAGCCACUUUAUUUAAUGAUAGAUUUUUUUUAGCAUCUACUUGUUGUACUAAAGUAUCAUGGUUUUCUGAAUUUAAUAUGUAAACGUGUCACCAUUGGGCACACAGCUCUCAUCUCCACUCUCUCUCAUCCGCUAGGGAUGGAGGGGCUGCCGAAAUCCACCUCGAGGCAGAGGGGUAGGCAGAAGGAUGGUGGGCGUUCCACUCGACGGCGAGCCAUGGGUGAUGGCGAUCUCAACGCAAAGUUUUCCGAUCUGCCCGUCUUCAAGGGCGUGGAGCGACGGAGGUUGUCUCCCUCCUUCCACACGGUCGCAGCAUCGGGAGAGGAUUCAGCCCCCGUGUGGUUCUGCACCAAGUUUCUGUCAAGAAUGGAAUCUAUGAGUUCUGGAACUGGUUUGAUGAUAGGACAUGCUGGAAGCAUUUGGUGGCAUGUUACUGAAAAAUGUGCCUGAAAGAUUUGAUCGGUCUACUAAGUUGGUAAACGCUCUGAACAUCCAAGUGUUGGUGGAGACCGUUUGCGUGUUACUGCUCCAAUUUUCUCAGCAGAUGCUUCCUGGGCUACUUACCUCUUGAUAAAGGAAGCAAAGGGCACUGGAGCUGGAUGGAUGCCAGUAGCCAUUCUGGCAAUGGUAAAUUGCACUUGAUUUAUAGAUGUUUUCAUUUUCAUAUGCCAUGGUCUAAGUGGAAAUAUAAAAACUUUUCGAUGAAGCUAGGGAUGCCAUUAAGUAGCUUUAGCUUUACCUGUCUUUGGGUGGGAACAUUACACUCUUCAACAACGAAAGAGAGGGCGAGAGGUGAUCCUUCUGCUCUUUACUUGUGAAUCUCUAUUUCUUACUAGCUCGGGGAACUUGCACCCAACAAACUAAUGGAUGAUCUUGCAAACCUCAUCAAGUAUAUUAGUAGUUACACUGUGAAUUUGAAAGCAAAAAAAUAUUGUACAUUUGUUCAUGUUAAAUUUAGAUGUGUUCUUGGGCAAUAAUUGAUGGUAGAUAAUACAUGAUGGGGGAUGGCCUUCAUUGCUACAAUUACUUUUCCUAUCCCUCCUUAGUUUCUUUUAUGUAUAUUAGUUUCUGUUUGCCCCUUUGUUUUUAGGGGAAGUUUUCUUACUGCCACAGCUUGGUUGUUCUAACAUGACAAAAUGUUGGAUUUAUUAUCCUGGUAAAUACUGGAUACUAGCUCAUUUUACUUCAGCUCAUAAGGAAAGGGAUCUGUAUGCAAAGCGUGUCAUGGGACGGUAUGCUGGAAUAAACGCAUAUAGCCAGUUCAUGUUUACCCUUUUCUUUACACAUAUGAUUGGGACUAGCAAAUUCACAUAUACAAAUAUGUUUCUAGAGCAAGGAUGAGAAGCACUCCAUACACAACCACAAUUGAUGGGAUGACGGGACUUGAGGUCAAACCACACAGGUUUGCACCAUAAUCAAGCAUCAGUUCAAUGGGAACUGGAAUGAUGAAAACACUUGUCGUGCCUCGGAGUGUGGCGCCGAGGAGAAGGACGAGCAGUCAGUGGUGUCUUCGUCUUCGCCGAUUGUGCUGGUGUGUUAUUCCUUUCCCUGCUCCGCCGCCUAGGAUACUCCACCACGGGAUUCGAGUAUGGCCUUGCCUUGGAUGGGUUGAGGAUGAUCAGUACGUCUGGAUUUUGCCAUCCUUCUUGGUUGUGAUUUUCAUUUGUUUUUCCUUCUCGUUUAGCUUCUCUUCUAUGCAUGGUGUAUAUGCCCUUCGGAGGAUUGUGUUAAUGCAUCAAAUAGGAUGUGUGCACCUAUUUUAUCAUGGAUCUUUGAUCCACAAUCUAACAAUUUUUUGUUCUGAUGGCUGCAAUUAUGUGACACAGAAGGUGCUUCUUGCUUGUUUGUUCAAAUGGCUAAAAGAAAAUACCCCCUUCUUUUUAUAGUACACAUUCCCUUGACAUACAUUCCAAAAAAUUUAAGCACCCACAUUUUAAUUUAUUUUGGCAA